rnacentral:rRNA from 1 species
GGAAUAUUGGGCAAUGGAGGAAACUCUGACCCAGCGACGCCGCGUGAGGGAUGAAGGCCUUCGGGCUGUAAACCUCUUUCAGUAGGGAAGAAGCGAAAGUGACGGUACCUACAGAAGAAGCACCGGCUAACUAUGUGCCAGCAGCCGCGGUAAUACAUAGGGUGCAAGCGUUGUCCGGAAUUAUUGGGCGUAAAGAGCUCGUAGGUGGUUCGAUACGUCGGAUGUGAAAAUCAGGGGCUCAACCCCUGACCUGCAUCCGAUACGGUCGAGCUGGAGUUUGGUAGGGGAGACUGGAAUUCCUGGUGUAGCGGUGGAAUGCGCAGAUAUCAGGAGGAACACCGAUGGCGAAGGCAGGUCUUUGGGCCAAUACUGACACUGAGGAGCGAAAGCGUGGGGAGCGAACAGGAUUAGAUACCCUGGUAGUCCACGCCGUAAACGGUGGGCGCUAGUUGUGCGAACCUUCCACGGUUUGUGCGACGCAGCUGACGCAUUAAGCGCCCCGCCUGGGGAGUACGAUCGCAAGAUUAAAACUCAAAGGAAUUGACGG